GACGAACGCUGGCGGCGUGCCUAAUACAUGCAAGUAGAACGCUGAAGGAGGAGCUUGCUUCUCUGGAUGAGUUGCGAACGGGUGAGUAACGCGUAGGUAACCUGCCUGGUAGCGGGGGAUAACUAUUGGAAACGAUAGCUAAUACCGCAUAAGAGUAGAUGUUGCAUGACAUUUGCUUAAAAGGUGCAAUUGCAUCACUACCAGAUGGACCUGCGUUGUAUUAGCUAGUUGGUGAGGUAACGGCUCACCAAGGCGACGAUACAUAGCCGACCUGAGAGGGUGAUCGGCCACCCUGGGACUGAGACACGGCCCAGACUCCUACGGGAGGCAGCAGUAGGGAAUCUUCGGCAAUGGACGGAAGUCUGACCGAGCAACGCCGCGUGAGUGAAGAAGGUUUUCGGAUCGUAAAGCUCUGUUGUAAGAGAAGAACGAGUGUGAGAGUGGAAAGUUCACACUGUGACGGUAUCUUACCAGAAAGGGACGGCUAACUACGUG
rnacentral:rRNA from 1 species